rnacentral:misc_RNA from 1 species
ACCACCGGGAUGUUCAUACCCCUUGUUGGUCCGACUCUGUUGCCUCCGGGGCGACCCUGCCUUCGGGCGGGGGCUCCGGGUGGACACUUCAAACUCUUGCGUAACUUUGCAGUUCUGAGUAAACUUAAUUAAUAAAUUAAAACUUUUAACAACGGAUCUCUUGGUUCUGGCAUCGAUGAAGAACGCAGCGAAAUGCGAUAAGUAAUGUGAAUUGCAGAAUUCAGUGAAUCAUCGAAUCUUUGAACGCACAUUGCGCCCCCUGGUAUUCCGGGGGGCAUGCCUGUUCGAGCGUCAUUUCACCACUCAAGCCUCGCUUGGUAUUGGGCAUCGCGGUCCGCCGCGUGCCUCAAAUCGACCGGCUGGGUCUUCUGUCCCCUAAGCGUUGUGGAAACUAUUCGCUAAAGGGUGUUCGGGAGGCUACGCCGUAAAACAACCCCAUUUCUAAGGUUGACCUCGGAUCAGGUAGGGAUACCCGCUGAACUUAAGCAUAUCAAUAA